GAUGAACGCUGGCGGCGUGCUUAACACAUGCAAGUCGAACGGGAAACCUUUUAUUGAAGCUUCGGCAGAUUUCGCUGGUUUCUAGUGGCGGACGGGUGAGUAACGCGUGGGUAACCUGCCUUAUACAGGGGGAUAACAACCAGAAAUGGUUGCUAAUACCGCAUAAGCGCACAGGACCGCAUGGUCCGGUGUGAAAAACUCCGGUGGUAUAAGAUGGACCCACGUUGGAUUAGCUAGUUGGCAGGGUAACGGCCUACCAAGGCGACGAUCCAUAGCCGGCCUGAGAGGGUGAACGGCCACAUUGGGACUGAGACACGGCCCAGACUCCUACGGGAGGCAGCAGUGGGGAAUAUUGCACAAUGGGGGAAACCCUGAUGCAGCGACGCCGCGUGAAGGAAGAAGUAUCUCGGUAUGUAAACUUCUAUCAGCAGGGAAGAUAGUGACGGUACCUGACUAAGAAGCCCCGGCUAACUACGUG
rnacentral:rRNA from 1 species